UCGGAAGUUCAGUCUUCCCAGGCCCACCACUUUCAUCGAGCGAGCAUUCGUCUUCUGGUUACGGGGCCAUAGCUCAGCUGGGAGAGCGCGUGCUUUGCAAGCAUGAGGUCGUCGGUUCGAUCCCGUCUGGCUCCACCAGAUGGUUUGAUCAUCGAGGCUUCAACCGUCGUCCGCGAAACAUCACUUCGCACUCGCUAGUCUGGAUAGACAGUGGGUUGCGUGAUUUCUGACAUCGUAAAGAGGAGAUCGAUCCGAGUUGGGUCGUGCAGCAAUUGUUGCGCGAGCCUUCAUUAUCUCCGGAUCAUUUCGGCGCUCGCGCGUCCUUCAGUGUGGCUCACAAGGCUGCGUCUGGAAGGAGUGCGGGUUGUAAAUGAUCCUUUUAGCGAAGCUUGACCGCCUCGCUAUCGGAACGAUCUUACGAAGCAAGCUGGUCUUUCUAGUCAAUGUCCGGCUGUACGUAGCGUUCAUCGAGGGCGCGAGCUGAAAGGCAAUCGUACAGACAACAUUCUGCCGAGUGUGUGGACAUUGAUAAUGAGAGCAAUCAAGUGCCUUAAGGGUGUUCGGUGGAUGCCUUGGCGCUGAGAGGCGAUGAAGGACGUGCUACGCUGCGAUAAG
rnacentral:misc_RNA from 1 species